rnacentral:SRP_RNA from 1 species
UUGUUAGUCAUCUGCAAUGUUAGUCUGCCAACUCGGUCAGGUUCGGAAGAAAGCAGCCGUAACAGAUAAUGCAUGUGCUGAAUACAGCUAGCAUGGU